CAGGUCACAGUGUUAGACAGAAGCAAUCACACGAACACACUCGCAUUUCUAGAAAUGUGCCAUAUCACUAACACACCACACACAGUAAAUCAUCGCACAGACGUUAGUGGGUUAAACUCCACAUACGCAGCCAUCUUACAAACCUUUUGCGAAACAUUUCAAACCCAUCAAACAACUAAUGAUCCACCAUCUUCAAACCAACCGUUACCUCCACCAGAUGUGUAGUGCGAAGAAUUUAGUUGCUUCAUUAAGUGAAAUUAACAAAACUCGCUACGUUUCACUUAAUAUCCCACAUCCAAUGUUCAAUAGUUUAGACACCGACAGUUCUAUGUCAACCCAAACGAAAAACGAUUAAUCAGAAUUAUCCCCUGAAGAAGACUCUAAUACGAGUCGAAACGUUGGGAAAAAUCUAAAA